UACGUAGGGCGCAAGCGUUGUCCGGAAUUAUUGGGCGUAAAGAGCUCGUAGGCGGCCAGUUGCGUCUGCUGUGAAAUCCCGGGGCUCAACCCCGGGCGUGCAGUGGAUACGGCUGGCUAGAGGCAGGCAGGGGAGAACGGAAUUCCCGGUGUAGCGGUGAAAUGCGCAGAUAUCGGGAGGAACACCGGUGGCGAAGGCGGUUCUCUGGGCCUGUACUGACGCUGAGGAGCGAAAGCGUGGGGAGCGAACAGG
rnacentral:rRNA from 1 species